CAUGAAAAAUUUGAAAGAAAUUCUUGUGCAAAUGCUUAUGGAAAAGAGAGAUUAAGGGUUAGGGAGGGUUUAGAGAAGGAUUAAACACAAGAAAAACACUAAAUUUGGGUAGGAUUUGUGAAGAGAAAGAGAGUGAUUAGAGAAGAAAGUGAAGAGAAAAGGAAGGAAAGAAAAAGACUUGAAGAAAAUCUAAACUGGGGAUACUUUGACAGCUGUGCCACUAACCCGAGCUGGAUGAGGAGCUUCUAACACAGCAGGACUCAAGCUGGGUAAAGGAUUGCUUGUCUCUUCAAACUUGGGGAGUUCUCCAGAUUUAUAUAACAUGAAAGCAUUAUCUCUUGAGAAGCUACUAUUUCCCAUGUAAAUGCUG